AGUGAACGUUGGCGGCGUGGAUUAGGCAUGCAAGUCGAGCGACAACCGUAGCAAUACGGGGACAGCGGCGAAAGGGACAGUAAUGUGUAGGUACCUACCUCCGGGUUCGGGAUAGCUGCGGGAAACUGCAGGUAAUACCGAAUAACGUCUCCGGACCAAAGGUGUGAUUCCACCUGGAGAGGGGCCUGCAUCCUAUUAGCUUGUUGGCGGGGUAACGGCCCACCAAGGCGACGAUGGGUAGCGGGUGGGAGAGCACGACCCGCGUCAUUGGGACUGAGACACUGCCCAGACACCGACGGGUGGCUGCAGUGGAGGAUCUUCGGCAAUGGGCGCAAGCCUGACCGAGCGACGCCGCGUGCGGGAUGAAGGCCUUCGGGUUGUAAACCGCUGUCGUAGAGGAGGAAGUGCAGGGGGGUUCUCCCCUCUGUUUGACCUAUUCUAGGAGGAAGGACGGGCUAAGUUCGUGCCAGCAGCCGCCGUAA
rnacentral:rRNA from 1 species